GACGAACGCUGGCGGCGUGCCUAAUACAUGCAAGUUGAGCGCUGAAGGUUGGUACUUGUACCAACUGGAUGAGCAGCGAACGGGUGAGUAACGCGUGGGGAAUCUGCCUUUGAGCGGGGGACAACAUUUGGAAACGAAUGCUAAUACCGCAUAAAAACUUUAAACACAAGUUUUAAGUUUGAAAGAUGCAAUUGCAUCACUCAAAGAUGAUCCCGCGUUGUAUUAGCUAGUUGGUGAGGUAAAGGCUCACCAAGGCGAUGAUACAUAGCCGACCUGAGAGGGUGAUCGGCCACAUUGGGACUGAGACACGGCCCAAACUCCUACGGGAGGCAGCAGUAGGGAAUCUUCGGCAAUGGACGAAAGUCUGACCGAGCAACGCCGCGUGAGUGAAGAAGGUUUUCGGAUCGUAACACUCUGUUGGUAGAGAAGAACGUUGGUGAGAGUGGAAAGCUCAUCAAGUGACGGUAACUACCCAGAAAGGGACGGCUAACUACGUG
rnacentral:rRNA from 1 species